rnacentral:lncRNA from 10 species
GAGACAGAUUCCAGAGGCUGGCAGAGGGACCAGAAGUUACACACAUUCACUCUGCGUGCAGUGGACAGGACGGGUGAGACAGGUGCCAGUUGAACAUCUGCAAGAGCGUGCUGGGUGUUAUCUGGACCAGAUGGCCAUCCAGCAUGGGCAGAAGCACGCAAGCCUUCACCUCUCCCAAGCAGCAGUGCUUUGAUGUGAAGUUAAGGGUACACAAAGGUGAAGGGAGUUGAAGAUCCUUGGCUGUAUCAACAAAGAGAUACUGCCUGAUUGUAGUCAAGGAAAUGUAAAGUGGCAUAUGUGGCUCCCAUUCCAUUUCUAUGAGAACACAUUGUUCUGGAUCAUUCUGGAGCGGUGCUGGAAACAGGCAAUAUCUCAGUACCAUUCUUUUCACUUCAGAUACUUUCUGAAGAAUAAAUAAAGGUACUUGAAAACAA